GACGCAUUCUGGCGGCGUGCUUAACACAUGCAAGUCGAACGGAAAGGCCCUGCUUUUGUGGGGUGCUCGAGUGGCGAACGGGUGAGUAACACGUGAGUAACCUGCCCUUGACUUUGGGAUAACUUCAGGAAACUGGGGCUAAUACCGGAUAGGAGCUCCUGCUGCAUGGUGGGGGUUGGAAAGUUUCGGCGGUUGGGGAUGGACUCGCGGCUUAUCAGCUUGUUGGUGGGGUAGUGGCUUACCAAGGCUUUGACGGGUAGCCGGCCUGAGAGGGUGACCGGCCACAUUGGGACUGAGAUACGGCCCAGACUCCUACGGGAGGCAGCAGUGGGGAAUAUUGCACAAUGGGCGGAAGCCUGAUGCAGCAACGCCGCGUGCGGGAUGACGGCCUUCGGGUUGUAAACCGCUUUCGCCUGUGACGAAGCGUGAGUGACGGUAAUGGGUAAAGAAGCACCGGCUAACUACGUGCCAGCAGCCGCGGUGAUACGUAGGGUGCGAGCGUUGUCCGGAUUUAUUGGGCGUAAAGGGCUCGUAGGUGGUUGAUCGCGUCGGAAGUGUAAUCUUGGGGCUUAACCCUGAGCGUGCUUUCGAUACGGGUUGACUUGAGGAAGGUAGGGGAGAAUGGAAUUCCUGGUGGAGCGGUGGAAUGCGCAGAUAUCAGGAGGAACACCAGUGGCGAAGGCGGUUCUCUGGGCCUUUCCUGACGCUGAGGAGCGAAAGCGUGGGGAGCGAACAGGCUUAGAUACCCUGGUAGUCCACGCUGUAAACGGUGGGUACUAGGUGUGGGGUCCAUUCCACGGGUUCCGUGCCGUAGCUAACGCUUUAAGUACCCCGCCUGGGGAGUACGGCCGCAAGGCUAAAACUCAAAGGAAUUGACGGGGCCCCGCACAAGCGGCGGAGCAUGCGGAUUAAUUCGAUGCAACGCGUAGAACCUUACCUGGGUUUGACAUGGAUCGGGAGCGCUCAGAGAUGGGUGUGCCUCUUUUGGGGUCGGUUCACAGGUGGUGCAUGGCUGUCGUCAGCUCGUGUCGUGAGAUGUUGGGUUAAGUCCCGCAACGAGCGCAACCCUUGUUCACUGUUGCCAGCACGUUAUGGUGGGGACUCAGUGGAGACCGCCGGGGUCAACUCGGAGGAAGGUGGGGAUGACGUCAAGUCAUCAUGCCCCUUAUGUCCAGGGCUUCACGCAUGCUACAAUGGCUGGUACAGAGAGUGGCGAGCCUGUGAGGGUGAGCGAAUCUCGGAAAGCCGGUCUCAGUUCGGAUUGGGGUCUGCAACUCGACCUCAUGAAGUCGGAGUCGCUAGUAAUCGCAGAUCAGCAACGCUGCGGUGAAUACGUUCCCGGGGGCU
rnacentral:rRNA from 1 species